rnacentral:rRNA from 1 species
GACGAACGCUGGCGGCGUGCUUAACACAUGCAAGUCGAACGAAGUGGCGAACGGGUGAGUAACGCGUAAUCAACCUGCCCUUCAGCGGGGGACAACAGUUGGAAACGACUGCUAAUACCGCAUACUGAAGGAGGGGAUUGCGUCUGAUUAGCUAGUUGGGGGGGUAACGGCCCACCAAGGCGAUGAUCAGUAGGCGGACUGAGAGGAUGGACGGCCACAUUUGGACUGGGACACGGCCCAGACGCCUACGGGAGGGAGCAGUGGGGAAACUUCCGGAAUGGACGAAAAGCUGACGAGGCAACGCCGGGGGGGUGAUGACGGGCUUCGGGUUGUAAAGCUCUGUUAAUCGGGACGCGGUACCGGAAUAGAAAGCCACGGCUAACUACGUGCCAGCAGCCGCGGUAAUAC